rnacentral:rRNA from 2 species
GGGCGUUAAGUUGCAGGGUAUAGACCCGAAACCCGGUGAUCUAGCCAUGGGCAGGUUGAAGGUUGGGUAACACUAACUGGAGGACCGAACCGACUAAUGUUGAAAAAUUAGCGGAUGACCUGUGGCUGGGGGUGAAAGGCCAAUCAAACCGGGAGAUAGCUGGUUCUCCCCGAAAGCUAUUUAGGUAGCGCCUCGUGAAUUCAUCUCCGGGGGUAGAGCACUGUUUCGGCUAGGGGGCCAUCCCGGCUUACCAACCCGAUGCAAACUGCGAAUACCGGAGAAUGUUAUCACGGGAGACACACGGCGGGUGCUAACGUCCGUCGUGAAGAGGGAAACAACCCAGACCGCCAGCUAAGGUCCCAAAGUCAUGGUUAAGUGGGAAACGAUGUGGGAAGGCCCAGACAGCCAGGAUGUUGGCUUAGAAGCAGCCAUCAUUUAAAGAAAGCGUAAUAGCUCACUGGUCGAGUCGGCCUGCGCGGAAGAUGUAACGGGGCUAAACCAUGCACCGAAGCUGCGGCAGCGANNUGCUGGAGGUAUCAGAAGUGCGAAUGCUGACAUAAGUAACGAUAAAGCGGGUGAAAAGCCCGCUCGCCGGAAGACCAAGGGUUCCUGUCCAACGUUAAUCGGGGCAGGGUGAGUCGACCCCUAAGGCGAGGCCGAAAGGCGUAGUCGAUGGGAAACGGGUUAAUAUUCCCGUACUUGGUGUUACUGCGAAGGGGGGACGGAGAAGGCUAUGUUGGCCGGGCGACGGUUGUCCCGGUUUAAGCGUGUAGGUGUGUGUUCCAGGUAAAUCCGGUUCACUUUAACACUGAGGCGUGACGACGAGGCACUACGGUGCUGAAGCAACAAAUGCCCUGCUUCCAGGAAAAGCCUCUAAGCAUCAGGUAACAUCAAAUCGUACCCCAAACCGACACAGGUGGUCAGGUAGAGAAUACCAAGGCGCUUGAGAGAACUCGGGUGAAGGAACUAGGCAAAAUGGUGCCGUAACUUCGGGAGAAGGCACGCUGACACGUAGGUGAAGUGAUUUACUCAUGGAGCUGAAGUCAGUCGAAGAUACCAGCUGGCUGCAACUGUUUAUUAAAAACACAGCACUGUGCAAACACGAAAGUGGACGUAUACGGUGUGACGCCUGCCCGGUGCCGGAAGGUUAAUUGAUGGGGUCAGCGCAAGCGAAGCUCCUGAUCGAAGCCCCGGUAAACGGCGGCCGUAACUAUAACGGUCCUAAGGUAGCGAAAUUCCUUGUCGGGUAAGUUCCGACCUGCACGAAUGGCGUAAUGAUGGCCAGGCUGUCUCCACCCGAGACUCAGUGAAAUUGAACUCGCUGUGAAGAUGCAGUGUACCCGCGGCAAGACGGAAAGACCCCGUGAACCUUUACUAUAGCUUGACACUGAACAUUGAGCCUUGAUGUGUAGGAUAGGUGGGAGGCUUUGAAGUGUGGACGCCAGUCUGCAUGGAGCCGACCUUGAAAUACCACCCUUUAAUGUUUGAUGUUCUAACGUGGACCCGUUACCCGGGUUGCGGACAGUGUCUGGUGGGUAGUUUGACUGGGGCGGUCUCCUCCUAAAGAGUAACGGAGGAGCACGAAGGUUGGCUAAUCCUGGUCGGACAUCAGGAGGUUAGUGCAAUGGCAUAAGCCAGCUUGACUGCGAGCGUGACGGCGCGAGCAGGUGCGAAAGCAGGUCAUAGUGAUCCGGUGGUUCUGAAUGGAAGGGCCAUCGCUCAACGGAUAAAAGGUACUCCGGGGAUAACAGGCUGAUACCGCCCAAGAGUUCAUAUCGACGGCGGUGUUUGGCACCUCGAUGUCGGCUCAUCACAUCCUGGGGCUGAAGUAGGUCCCAAGGGUAUGGCUGUUCGCCAUUUAAAGUGGUACGCGAGCUGGGUUUAGAACGUCGUGAGACAGUUCGGUCCCUAUCUGCCGUGGGCGCUGGAGAACUGAGGGGGGCUGCUCCUAGUACGAGAGGACCGGAGUGGACGCAUCACUGGUGUUCGGGUUGUCAUGCCAAUGGCACUGCCCGGUAGCUAAAUGCGGAAGAGAUAAGUGCUGAAAGCAUCUAAGCACGAAACUUGCCCCGAGAUGAGUUCUCCCUGAGACUUAGAGUCUCCUGAAGGAACGUUGAAGACGACGACGUUGAUAGGCCG